ensembl:snRNA U6 U6 spliceosomal RNA
GUGCUCUCUUCAGCAGCCCGUAUACUAAAAUUGGAACAAUACAGAGAAGAUUAGCACAGCCCCUGCAUGAGGAUGAUAUACUGAUUCAUGAAGCUUUGAAAGUUAAG